AGUGGCGGACGGGUGAGUAACGCGUAAGAAUCUAACUUCAGGACGGGGACAACUGUUGGAAACGACUGCUAAUACCCGAUGUGCCGCAAGGUGAAACCUAAUUGGCCUGGAGAAGAGCUUGCGUCUGAUUAGCUAGUUGGUGGGGUAAAGGCCUACCAAGGCGACGAUCAGUAGCUGGUCUGAGGGGAUGAGCAGCCACACUGGGACUGAGACACGGCCCAGACUCCUACGGGAGGCAGCAGUGGGGAAUUUUCCGCAAUGGGCGAAAGCCUGACGGAGCAACGCCGCGUGAGGGAGGAAGGUCUUUGGAUUGUAAACCUCUUUUCUCAAGGAAGAAGUUCUGACGGUACUUGAGGAAUCAGCCUCGGCUAACUCCGUGCCAGCAGCCGCGGUAAUACGGGGGAGGCAAGCGUUAUCCGGAAUUAUUGGGCGUAAAGCGUCCGCAGGUGGUCAGCCAAGUCUGCCGUCAAAUCAGGUUGCUUAACGACCUAAAGGCGGUGGAAACUGGCAGACUAGAGAGCAGUAGGGGUAGCAGGAAUUCCCAGUGUAGCGGUGAAAUGCGUAGAGAUUGGGAAGAACAUCGGUGGCGAAAGCGUGCUACUGGGCUGUAUCUGACACUCAGGGACGAAAGCUAGGGGAGCGAAAGGGAUUAGAUACCCCUGUAGUCCUAGCCGUAAACGAUGGAUACUAGGCGUGGCUU
rnacentral:rRNA from 1 species